UCUUAUGGAUGGGCAAAGAAAGUGGUUUCUUGAGAUGGAAUCUACUCCUGGUGACCUGGUGAAGAUGCUGUGAA
rnacentral:pre_miRNA from 1 species